UGAACGCUAGCGGCAGGCUUAACACAUGCAAGUCGAGGGCAGCAUGAGUGUUAGCAAUAACACUUGAUGGCGACCGGCGCAAGGGUGCGUAACGCGUGGGUAACCUGCCCUGUACACACGGAUAACAUACCGAAAGGUAUGCUAAUACGGGAUAAUAUGUUUUGAUCGCAUGGUCGGAACAUCAAAGCUCCGGCGGUACAGGAUGGACCCGCGUCUGAUUAGCUAGUUGGUGGGGUAAUGGCUCACCAAGGCGACGAUACAUAGGGGGACUGAGAGGUUAACCCCCCACAUUGGUACUGAGACACGGACCAAACUCCUACGGGAGGCAGCAGUGAGGAAUAUUGGUCAAUGGACGCAAGUCUGAACCAGCCAUGCCGCGUGCAGGAAGACGGCUCUAUGAGUUGUAAACUGCUUUUGUAUGAGGGUAAAAUUAGGUACGUGUACCUAACUGAAAGUAUCAUACGAAUAAGGAUCGGCUAACUCCGUG
rnacentral:rRNA from 1 species